AUUGAGUUACAAGCUGUGGGAUGCACCUGUAGAAUGUCAUGGCAGCACAAAGAUGCUUAUCUGCCCUGACCUUGGGAAUAAAUGCCAGUUGGAGACGCCCUAGGGAGAGGACCCAGUGGGAAUCUGCCAGACUCCUGCACAGCAUGUGAUCAUCCUAUAGAAGGACAUCAGGAAAGUGUUGCUGACGUGGCAAUGUGUGAUAGGCAAUUUAGUGAAAAAACCUAUAUAAUUAAAUACUGGGUGUAUAACAAGGGUAUAAAACCAGCUCCUAUCUCUCAAUAAAUUUCUCAGUAUCCCUGCGGUUCUGAGUCCCUGCCUCCUUCGUUCACAUGCCAGAGGAGCAGCCAGGUAGCCGUGGGCCAGGCAGGAGACUGGGCUGUGUCUCAGGGAUAUUUCUCGUAAGGGGAGAGGACUGGGAUCUCCAGAGUGGGAGAGGGAAGGCUGGGGGUGAUCAAGCAGGGCAGCAAAGCCCUGCUAACCCCCCCUGCCUGCCUUGUUCUUGCUUCCCAAGGGACCAGGCCUAGAGCAGACUCAUCUCAGCUCUUGCUCUCACCCAGCCCACCAUGUUUUCCUUCUUGGCGUUUAUUCCAGCUGUCAUUGCAUUCCUUGUGGGAGUUGCUGUAGGAGCUGCAAUUGUAGCAGCAGCAAAGAGUCAGAAUGUGUUCUUCACUGUGAAUCGCUGUGGUCUGAUUUUCCGUGUGGGCGGGGAAGAAAAUGCCUGCGCUCCAACCAGCAGCCCUUGUGAUGCUGGCCAGAAGAAGGAAUGGUGACCCCUGCCAGUGAACAGAAGCACAUUUCCUUCCUUCCAACCAGCCUGAUUCGUGUCUUUAGAUUGCAGGACCAGGAAAACACCCUCUGACUCCCUGUUGUCCCUUACAAAACACUUGCAUUGCCUUAAGGAGUAAAUGCUUUGAAAAAUUUAAUAAAAAUGCAUGUCUGGUG